rnacentral:SRP_RNA from 1 species
GCGGGAGCAGUGGCACGUGCCUGUAGUCCCAGCUACUCAAGAGGCUGAGGUGGGAGGAUCUCUCGAGCCCAGGAGUUCUGGGCUGUAGUGCACUAUGCGAUCGGGUGUCCACACUAAGUUCGACAUCAACAUAGUGACCUCCCGGAAGUGGGGGACCACCAGGUUGUCUAAGGAGGGGUGAACCGGCCCAGGUCGGAAAUGCAGCAGGUCAAAACUCCCGUGGUGAUCAGCAGUGGGAUCGCACCUGUGAAUAGUCACUGCACUCCUGCCUGGGCAACAUAGGGAGACCCCGUCUCU